GGUACGGGGGGGGCAAGCGUUUAUUCGGAAUUACUGGGCGUAAAGGGCUCGGUAGGCGGCCAACUAAGUCAAGACCGUGAAAUCCCUCGGCUUAACCGGGGAACUGCGUCUGAUACUGGAUGGCUUGAAGUCCGGGAGAGGAGUGCGGAAUUCCAAGGUGUAGCGGUGAAAUGCGUAGAGAGUGUGGAGGAACACCAGUGGCGAAGGCGAACUCUUUGGUCUGUAAACUGACGCUGGAGGCGACGAAAGCCGUGGGGAGCAAACAGG
rnacentral:rRNA from 1 species